rnacentral:rRNA from 1 species
GUGAGGAAUAUUGGUCAAUGGGCGGGAGCCUGAACCAGCCAAGUCGCGUGAAGGAAGAAGGAUCUAUGGUUCGUAAACUUCUUUUGCAGGGGAAUAAAGUGCAGGACGUGUCCUGUUUUGUAUGUACCCUGAGAAUAAGGAUCGGCUAACUCCGUGCCAGCAGCCGCGGUAAUACGGAGGAUCCGAGCGUUAUCCGGAUUUAUUGGGUUUAAAGGGUGCGUAGGUGGUUUGAUAAGUCAGCGGUGAAAGUUUGCAGCUUAACUGUAAAAAUGCCGUUGAAACUGUCGGACUUGAGUGUAAAUGAGGUAGGCGGAAUGUGUGGUGUAGCGGUGAAAUGCAUAGAUAUCACGCAGAACUCCGAUUGCGAAGGCAGCUUACUAAGCUACAACUGACACUGAAGCACGAAAGCGUGGGGAUCAAACAGGAUUAGAUACCCGAGUAGUCC